GUAGGGUCCGAGCGUUGUCCGGAAUUAUUGGGCGUAAAGAGCUCGUAGGCGGCCUGUCGCGUCUGCUGUGAAAGUCCGGGGCUUAACUCCGGGUGUGCAGUGGAUACGGGCAGGCUUGAGGUAGGUAGGGGAGACUGGAAUUCCUGGUGUAGCGGUGAAAUGCGCAGAUAUCAGGAGGAACACCGGUGGCGAAGGCGGGUCUCUGGGCCUUACCUGACGCUGAGGAGCGAAAGCGUGGGGAGCGAACAGGAUUAGAUACCCUGGUAGUCCACGCCGUAAACGUUGGGCGCUAGGUGUGGGGACUUUCCACGGUUUCCGUGCCGUAGCUAACGCAUUAAGCGCCCCGCCUGGGGAGUACGGCCGCAAGGCUA
rnacentral:rRNA from 1 species